AAAUAAGUAAGCUAAUUUUUCAAGCUUUUGGGCUCAUAACCCAACAAUGGAUUUAUUCCCUUAUUUA
rnacentral:tRNA from 1 species